rnacentral:lncRNA from 1 species
ACCAAUCUUCAUGAUUUCUUACUCAGAGAUGAGUUUUCUUUACAGGCUUUGUUCAGAAAAUCAGAUGAUCAACUGUGAUUAAACCAGAUUAAGUUGAAGUAAAAGUUUAUUCAUAUGGGUACACUAGUUCAUUCCUUUUAUUAAUGAUUUCCAGCAAGCCCAAAGCAUAAAUUACUAAAAAAAGAAACAGCCACGAACAAUUAUAAGCAACACCGACCUGAUAUCAGUCACAACUUGCAAUCAAACAAGCGCGAAAUAAAGAAAAGCAAGUCGAAGCAUCAAAUCAGAACUGAGGACAUAAGGGGGAAAAAUAAGUUAUUACAAAAUAGUACAAGAACUAGAAGUUUGAGGAUCUUCGGCAGAAGGGUUGACCCCAGGCCAUUCCCGACAUUGGCAGCGUUGGCCUUCAGGCACACGCUUAUAAACAGAUGGAACAUGUCUUCCGCAACCUCCCCACGUUGUCUUCCCGCAUGUUGAGCACUUCGCUUCGUAACACAUCUUGCUUUGUUCCUCCCCUCGAUCCUGUCCUCUGUUGGUUAAUUUUUUCUAAGUUCUAACUCCUUUUGUUGCUGUUGGCCUGUUUUCAAAGCAAAGGAAUCGAACAAAAGCUGCCGAUUUCUUUUUCUUGUAUAGAAACAUCCGUCCUACGCAACCGAUGACUUGGACAACGUUGAGAUCGUCGCUUUCGUCUGUGCUCCCCAAACACCGACUGAGCGGCUGAGCCAAACCCAUCAAGGUUAGAUCCAUGUCAAGUCUGUGGUAGGCUUGGGCUUAAUCUUUAGUCCAUACAAUGGGCUCAGCUUUCAGGCCUCCAAGCUUUGAUUUAGGGGGAAGCUCAAGCUGAAGUAUAAUUUCAGAGUUCGUCCCUUCGGCCUUCUCUUUUGC